UUAAGAUACUAAGAGCAAAUGGGGGAUACCUUGGCGUACAGAGCAGACGAAGGACGUGGAUAGCUGCGAUAAGCUUCGGGGAGCCGCUAACAGGCUUUGAUCCGGAGAUUUCCGAAUGGGGAAACCUUCUACGGGUUGUACCGUAGAACCCAUAUCUGAAUGCAUAGGAUAUGAGGAGGCAAGCAGGGGAAUUGAAACAUCUUAGUACCCUGAAGAAAGGAAAUUAAAUCAAAGACUCCCUUAGUAGCGGCGAGCGAACGGGGAUCAGCCUAAAUUUACUAGGUGUCAAGCUGACAGGCGUUGCCUAGUAUUGGUCGUGGGACAUAGUUUGAAAGUACUGUCAUACUUUCGAGAAGUUACAAAAGUUUGUGUUAGAUGAAGCUUCUGGAAAGAAGCGCCACAGAGAGUGAAAGCCUCGUAGUCGAAAGCACAGGCACUUCUUUAUUAUGCUCCCGAGUAGAACGGGACACGUGAAAUCCUGUUUGAAUCUGGGUGGACCAUCAUCCAAGGCUAAGUACUCCUGUACGACCGAUAGUGAACCAGUACCGUGAGGGAAAGGUGAAAAGAACCCCUUUUAGGGGAGUGAAAUAGAAUAUGAAACCAUUUGCUUACAAGCAGUCGGAGCUCUUCGGAGUGACGGCGUGCCUAUUGAAGAAUGAGCCGGCGACUUAUGGGCAGUAGCAAGGUUAAGCUAAAAGCGGAGCCGUAGCGAAAGCAAGUCUGAAUAGGGCGAUUUAGUUACUGUUUAUAGACCCGAAGCCAAGUGAUCUAUCCAUGGGCAGGAUGAAGCCUCUGUAACAGGAGGUGGAGGUCCGAACCGUUGUAUGUUGAAAAAUGCUCGGAUGACCUGUGGAUAGCGCUGAAAUUGCAAUCGAACUUGGCGAUAGCUGGUUCUCCCCGAAAUGACUUUAGGGUCAGCCUCGGACGAAGACUAUUGGGGGUAGAGCACUGUUUGGGCUAGGGGGCUCACCAAAGCCUACCAAACCCAGGCAAACUCCGAAUACCAAUAGUUACUAUCCGGGAGUGAGAACAUGGGGGAUAAGCUCCAUGAUCAAAAGGGAAACAGCCCAGACCAUCAGUUAAGGUCCCUAAACUAUACUAAGUGGCAAAGGAAGUUAGAACUCAGACACAACCAGGAGGUUGGCUUAGAAGCAGCCAUCCUUUAAAGAAAGCGUAAUAGCUCACUGGUCUAGUCUUCUAGCGCCGAAGAUGUAACGGGGCUAAGUAUAGUACCGAAACUAUGGCAAUUUGUCUUCGGAUAAAUUGGGUAGGGGAGCGUUCCAUGUUAGGUUGAAGUCAGACCGUAAGGUCUGGUGGACGAGAUGGAAGUGAGAAUGUCGGCAUGAGUAACGAAAAAACAAGUGAGAAUCUUGUUCGCCGAAAAUCUAAGGUUUCCUGGGCAAGGUUCGUCCUCCCAGGGUUAGUCGGUCCUAAGUUCAGGCUGAAGGGCGUAGACGAUGGACAACAGGUUAAUAUUCCUGUACCAGUGUAUUGCAUUAUUACCGAUGGAGGGACGCAGAAGGCUAGGCAAGGCCAGUUAUUGGAUUCUGGUUUAAGCAUGUAGGGGUAAGAGAUAGGCAAAUCCGUCUCUUUUUAACUCUGAGACGUUAUGACGUAAGCUGCUGAUGCCGCACUGACAAGAAAAUCUUCUAGGGAGUAAUAUACUGACCGUACUAAAACCGACACAGGUAGAUAGGUAGAGAAUACUAAGGCGCGCGAGACAACUCUCGUUAAGGAACUCGGCAAAAUACACCCGUAACUUUGGGAUAAGGGUGGCCACAUUAGGGUGAAGGUCCUGCGACCGGAGCUUGAAGUGGCGGCACAACCCAGGUGUUAGCGACUGUUUAUCAAAAACACAGGUCUCUGCUAAGCCGAAAGGCGAUGUAUAGGGGCUGACGCCUGCCCAGUGCUGGAAGGUUAAGAGGAGCGGUUAGUUUUCGGACGAAGCUGCGAAUCGAAGCCCCAGUGAACGGCGGCCGUAACUAUAACGGUCCUAAGGUAGCGAAAUUCCUUGUCAGGUAAGUUCUGACCCGCACGAAUGGCGUAACGACUUGCACACUGUCUUAACGAGAGACUCGGUGAAAUUGGAGUGUUGGUGAAGAUACCAACUACCUGCGGCAGGACAGAAAGACCCCGUGGAGCUUUACUAUAGCUUGGCUUUGAGUUUUGAAAUGAUUUGUGCAGCAUAGGUGGGAGGCUUUGAUUCCGGAACGCUAGUUUCGGUUGAGCCAUCGUUGAGAUACCACCCUUGUUAUUUUGGAAUUCUAAUCCUGACCCAUUAUCUGGGCAGGAGACAGAGUCUGGUGGGUAGUUUGACUGGGGCGGUCGCCUCCUAAAAAGUAACGGAGGUGCUCAAAGGUUCCCUCAGAGCGGUCGGAAAUCGCUUGUAGAGUGUAAGAGCAUAAGGGAGCUUAACUGUGAGAGAGACAUUUCGAGCAGAUACGAAAGUAGGAUCUAGUGAUCCGGUGACUCCGGAUGGAAGGGUCAUCGCUCAACGGAUAAAAGUUACCCCGGGGAUAACAGGCUGAUUCCUCCCAAGAGUCCAUAUCGACGGAGGAGUUUGGCACCUCGAUGUCGGCUCGUCACAUCCUGGAGCUGGAGCAGGUUCCAAGGGUUGGGCUGUUCGCCCAUUAAAGUGGUACGUGAGCUGGGUUCAGAACGUCGUGAGACAGUUUGGUCCAUAUCCGCCGUAGGCGCUAGAAAUUUGAGAGGAGCUGACCCUAGUACGAGAGGACCGGGUUGGACAGACCUCUGGUGUACCAGUUAUUCCGCCAGGAGUAUAUGCUGGGUAGCUACGUUUGGAUCAGAUAAUCGCUGAAAGCAUCUAAGCGAGAAACUGACCUCAAGAUUAGAUUUCUUUUAAGACCCCCUGUAGACGACAGGGUUGAUAGGCUGGAGGUGUACGCACAGUAAUGUGUUUAGCUGACCAGUACUAAUAGGUCGUAGUCUUUCUUA
rnacentral:rRNA from 1 species